rnacentral:rRNA from 1 species
AGGACGAACGCUGGCGGCGUGCUUAACACAUGCAAGUCGAACGAGGUCCAUCCGGUGGCAACACUGGAGAAGACCUAGUGGCGAACGGGUGAGUAACACGUGAGGAACCUGCCCCGAAGACCGGGAUAACAGCGGGAAACCGCUGCUAAUACCGGAUGCCCCCAUCGGGCCACAUGGUCUGAUAAGGAAAUGGAUUCCGCUUCGGGAGGGGCUCGCGGCCUAUCAGCUAGUUGGUGGGGUAACGGCCCACCAAGGCAUCGACGGGUAGCUGGUCUGAGAGGACGAUCAGCCACACUGGGACUGAGACACGGCCCAGACUCCUACGGGAGGCAGCAGUGGGGAAUCUUGCGCAAUGGGCGAAAGCCUGACGCAGCAACGCCGCGUGGAGGACGAAGGCUUUCUGAGUUGUAAACUCCUUUCAGCAGGGACGAUAGUGACGGUACCUGCAGAAGAAGCACCGGCCAACUACGUGUCAGCAGCCGC